rnacentral:snRNA from 1 species
GUGAUAUCGCUGGCGAUCUGACUGAGACAUCUGUCACCCCAUUGAUCGCCAGAGUUGAUUCGGCUGAUCUGAUUGGCUAGGCGGGUGAUCCCUUCCUUCCUCACUGCUCCCAUGUGUGUCUCGCCUGAAGCUGCUAGCUCGGUUGAAGAGGAUAGCCUUCCCUGAAUGGAGACAGACUGGUCUUCGGUCGAGGGUAUAGGAGUAGCUGCGCUCCCCUGCUAGAACCUCCAAACAAGCUCAAUUUUCAAAGUAGAUAAAUUUUUAUAAAAUAAAUUCUAUCGCCUAACCCAUUAUUUUUAAUGCAUGUGCUACUGG